GUGUCAGCAGCCGCGGUAAUACGUAGGGUGCGAGCGUUGUCCGGAAUUAUUGGGCGUAAAGGGCUCGUAGGCGGUUUGUCGCGUCGGGAGUGAAAUCAUCUGGCUUAACUGGGUGCUUGCUUUCGAUACGGGCAGACUAGAGGUAUGCAGGGGAGAACGGAAUUCCUGGUGUAGCGGUGAAAUGCGCAGAUAUCAGGAGGAACACCGGUGGCGAAGGCGGUUCUCUGGGCAUGAUCUGACGCUGAGGAGCGAAAGUGUGGGGAGCGAACAGGAUUAGAUACCCCUGUAGUCC
rnacentral:rRNA from 1 species